UACGGGGGGGGCAAGCGUUGUUCGGAAUUACUGGGCGUAAAGGGUUCGUAGGUGGCCUGCUAAGUCAAACGUGAAAUCCCUCAGCUUAACUGGGGAACUGCGUCUGAGACUGGUGGGCUUGAGUGCAGGAGAGGAACGCGGAAUUCCCGGUGUAGUGGUGAAAUGCGUAGAUAUCGGGAGGAACACCAGUGGCGAAGGCGACUUCCUGGCCUGUUCUUGACGCUGAGGCGCGAAAGCUAGGGGAGCAAACGGG
rnacentral:rRNA from 1 species